GACGAACGCUGGCGGCGUGCCUAAUACAUGCAAGUCGAGCGAAUUUACGGGAGCUUGCUCUCGUAAAUUAGCGGCGGACGGGUGAGUAACACGUGGGCAACCUGCCUAUAAGACUGGGAUAACUUCGGGAAACCGGAGCUAAUACCGGAUAAUUCACAUCUACUCAUGUAGAUGUGCUGAAAGACGGUUUCGUCUGUCACUUAUAGAUGGGCCCGCGGCGCAUUAGCUAGUUGGUGAGGUAACGGCUCACCAAGGCCACGAUGCGUAGCCGACCUGAGAGGGUGAGCGGCCACACUGGGACUGAGAAACGGCCCGGACUCCUACGGGAGGCAGCAGUAGGGAAUCUUCCGCAAUGGAAGAAAGUCUGACGGAGCAACGCCGCGUGAGUGAUGAAGGUUUUCGGAUCGUAAAACUCUGUUGUUAGGGAAGAACAAGUACCAGAGUAACUGCUGGUACCUUGACGGUACCUAACCAGAAAGCCACGGCUAACUACGUGCCAGCCGCCGCGGUAA
rnacentral:rRNA from 1 species